AUGAGGAAGUCGAUGAGUGGGAAGAAGAACGUCUUGAGACGCUAACCCAGCAGACCCUCAAAUCCACCAACGUCAAAGUGGAAAAGAUUUGGAAAAUGCAACAAACGAGAGACAGAGACUUCACGGCGAGUACACCAAACAACUGACCUCUGUACUGGACCAAUGGGACUCCGAU